UGGGGAAUUUUGGACAAUGGGGGCAACCCUGAUCCAGCCAUUCCGCGUGAGUGAAGAAGGCCUUCGGGUUGUAAAGCUCUUUCGCAAGGGAAGAAACGAUACAGUCUAAUAAACUGUGUUAAUGACGGUACCUUGAUAAGAAGCACCGGCUAACUACGUGCCAGCAGCCGCGGUAAUACGUAGGGUGCGAGCGUUAAUCGGAAUUACUGGGCGUAAAGCGUGCGCAGGCGGUUUUGAAAGUCAGAUGUGAAAUCCCCGGGCUCAACCUGGGAACUGCGUUUGAAACUCCAAAGCUAGAGUAUGGGAGAGGGGGGUAGAAUUCCACGUGUAGCAGUGAAAUGCGUAGAGAUGUGGAGGAAUACCAAUGGCGAAGGCAGCCCCCUGGCUUAAUACUGACGCU
rnacentral:rRNA from 1 species